CCCUUAGAUGUUCUGGGCCGCACGCGCGCUACACUGAUGCAUUCAACGAGUUUCUUCCUGGUCCGAGAGGAAUGGGUAACCUUUUGAAAGUGCAUCGUGAUAGGGAUAGACUAUUGCAAUUAUUGAUCUUCAACGAGGAAUUCCUAGUAGACGUAGUUCAUCAGACUGCAUCGAUUACGUCCCUGCCCUUUGUACACACCGCCCGUCGCUCCUACCGAUUGAAUGCUCAGGUGAGCCAUUCGGACUUUCAUCAUGCUGGUUUCCAGUUUUGAUGAAGGAAAGUCUUGCGAACCUUAUCAUUUAGAGGAAGGAGAAGUCGCAACA
rnacentral:rRNA from 1 species